CCUCUUUGGGUGGGAGUUGUUCUGCCCUCGGUGCUGUGAGGACUGUAAGUGGAGUUGCUUGUAAGGUUUUUUUGGUUGUGGUGGGGUUGGUUGGCCUUUCUGCCAAAGUUUCUAGGGUCUGAGAAGCAAGUGUAAUGAAGAGACCUAGAGCUGAUGAGUCAUGGAGGGUAGAGGAGGGAGCAAGAGGCUGGGUUUGUGCUUCUGGAUUCCCUGUGGUGAGGCCUCUGCCCCUGUGUCCUUAGCUGCCUUGGAGCGGGACAUGGUCACAGCCCAGGGGAGGUGCAAGCUUCCUUGGAUCGGUGUGGGGUUGUCUUUGAUUUGUCAGUUUGUUGAAAGGUACAGGGAUGGCUUCUGGGAGCUUGGAGACACUGGGUGGUGGGGCCUGGAUGUGUGUGUAUGCUGUUUGGGAGGGAUUUCAGUCUGGUCUUGAUUGACCCUGUGGGCUUCAUGGCUUGUUUUGUCUUUCAGGAUCCUGGCUGUUGUGGAGAGACUUUGGGUUGGAGAUGGAUGCAAAGAAGUGGAGGCGUGCCAUGGUGAUGGAGGAUAGAGCAGGAGGAGUAGCAUGAUGGAAGGUGGACUUACCUCAAGCGGGGGUGGUGUUUUGAGUGGGGGUGUCUGGGUGGGCUGGGAAGUCCCUGCUCUGGGUUGGUGUCCUGAGCUGCACGCUCCCAGGGCAGGGCUACUCAAGCGGAGGGCCAUGGCACCCAGGAGUGCCUCUGAGAUGAGUGGUGUAUGGCUGGGCUGGCUUGGCCCAGAGUUGCUCUGAGUCUGUGCAAAGAUCUCCAGGUUGCGGUGGGACAGAGGAUUGGGUCUCUGCCUGGCUGUACCUGUUGCCACAUGCCUCCUUUCAGUGCUGGGAAUUGCAUUUAUGUCUCAUCUCUCUGGGUGUGUCACUGGUGUCUGUCUUUGUACUUCUGUUCUUAAAAAUCACUGCAGCACUUGUUACUUUGUUCUUCCCAGGACUGAAAGGAGGGUUGUGUUUGCAUGUAAAUUGAUCCCCUCACUUGGGAGGGGUGUAGCUGCAGCCCCCUGCGGUUUGUUAGUGGGGCCAGUGCAAGCUGCUGUUGUACCCCUGGUUGGGAGGGAGGGGGUGCUGUCCCGUUGGUGCUGUGAGACCUGCGCAUAGCGCUGCAAGUGUUAAUUGCUGUUGUUCAUUUUUGGUGGUGUGGACAUGUUUGGCAAGAUGACCAAAGUCUGAUCCCGAGUGGAGAAGAGCUGAGGAAGAGGUGAAGAGCCCUGGAGCUGGUAUGGCGUGGAAGGAGUUGGAGACGGCCUGAAGCCAUGCUCACGUGAUCACCUGGAGCGAGGUAUUUGCUUCUUGUGGGUUGCAGCUCUGGAUGGAGAGAUCCUGCAGUUGCAGGUGCCUGCAUCGUAUCUGGGAAAGGGAUAGCAAGCAUGAGGACUGAUGGCGCACAAGGACUGAAGGCGCAGCGUGAUGCCAGGUGUGGAGCCAUCUUCUGAAGGCUUGAGGGCUGUGGAGCAGACUCUGUGAAGAUGAAGUGAAGAGUCCCAGCGAUGGUGCAGGAGGAAACGGGCAGCCCUGUUGUGACUUCCUGAUUUGCGUGGUGUGAGGCCUCUUCCCCUGUGGCAUCACCUGGCUGGAGUCUGGGGAGGUUUUGUGUGUAGCUUUGCAGGCGGUGCGUCUCCGCUCCCACUUCUUGCUGUGAGGAUGCCUGGAUAAGCAGCAGCAUGAUUGUGGCUGGGUGGCCUCAAUGUUGUGGGGGAGAGGAACAGAAGCGAGGCUUCUGCGGUGGUGGUAGAAGAUGGAGGAACUGGAUCCCGAAAGGUGGGCUGGGUUAAAGUGGGAGGCUGGGUUGCGUUUUCCCUGGUCGUGUUUGGGUGGGGAAGGAAACGCCUUGUGCGUAAUGGGGUCUGGAGCUCCGUGCUGUCUGGGAAGUGAUGCUGAAGCCGGGACUUGUGGCCCUUAGGGAUGCUGCAGAGCAGGGGGUGUAAGCCUGAAUUGGGUUUAGUUUGGUGGUGAGACCUGACUCCUUGUAAAGGCUGGAAAUUGUCCUUGAGUAUAUUAGGGGUUUCAGUGUUUGCCCCUGGCUUCUGGGUGCAGGUGACAGCAUUGGAUGUGCUGGGACAGAGGAGCGGGUGCGUGCGUGUCCGCCUCUGCCUGGCUGUUGCUGCUGCCACUGGUCUUCCUUCAGUUCUGGGAAUUGCACUCUGUCCUAUGUCUCUGGGUGUGUCACUGGUGUUUCUUUCUACUUUGAUAUCUAAAAUCACAGCAGCACUUCUUCUUUCUUUCUUUGCUCUUCCCAGAGCUGGAAGGAUAGGUGUGUUUGCAACUGAAUUGAUCCCCUCAUUUGGGUGGGCUUUGACUACACCCUGUGUGCCUCGCGUGCGAGUGGGGGUGUUAUGCUUUCGGUGUCCUAGGCUGCUGGGGGUGGGGGGCGUUGUCUCUGCUGUCAGUACUAUGAGACGUGAAUACUGUUGCGUGUAGUAAUUGCUUGUUGUUUUGGGUGUGAUGUUAAUAUGUCGAGCGUGAGUGGAGAAGAGCUGAGGCGAAGAGACCUAGAGCCAGCGCUAGGUAGAAGCGGGUGGAGGAAGCAGGUGGUUGUGCAGCCAUGCUCGCUUCUGGGUCACCUGGAGGGAGGCCUCUGCCUGUUCGGUGGACCUGUGUGCAUGAGCAGAGCCUGCAGAGGUCCCUGCUUCCCCUGUGUGGAGAGGAUGGCAAGGAGGGAGGAGAGCGCGCUGGAGGAAGAGGAGCGUGAUGCCAGGUCCCAUGAGUGCUGUCUCUUGGGGUGAGGCCCUUCUCACAGAUGGAUGGGUGCACCCUGGGCAGGCACGUCUUGGAGAGCUGGUCCUGACCUGUGCAGAGGGAAAUGACUGCCGGUUGAAGGAGUGAAGCUGAGCAGCGCCCACGGAGGGUGAAGCAGGAGGAACUCGAUGCUGCAUGGCGUGUCGGUGCCGGAUGGGCAGUUCUGGCAAUUGGGUCCUGGUCCUUGGAGAGAAGUUUGAGCAGAGAAGGGUGGAAGAUGGAGGCAGAGAGGAUGGUGCAACGUGUGUUUGUUCUGGAAGGGGGGUGGGGUGGGGUGACAAGUCCCUGGUGUACUGAGCUUCACGCUCCUGGGCCAGCGAUGCUCCGGCAGGAGGUUGUGGCACCAUGGGUGGCCCCUCUCUGUACCGGUGCAAGGCUGUGCUGGUGUACCUGGGAGUCCCGCAAUUGCCUCGGUGUAAAGAAUGGGAAUCGUUCCCCUCCAUUGUGGGCGAUUUCUGGUCCUUUGAGCAGGGUUUGCUUCUGGCAUGGGUGCAGAUCUUGACUCUGUCUAGGCUCUAGCAGGGCAGAGGAUUGGGUGUUUGCCUUGCUGAUGCCAUUACCACAGCUUCCUGCUUCAGUUCUGGGAAUUGUCUGGGGGUAUCACGGAUGGCUUGGAGUCAACAUCACUGCACUAUUUCUGUCUCUGUCUCUUUUGUCCUUUUCUUUGCUCUUCCCAGAAGUGAAGGGGGAGGCCUGUGUGCGCACAUGUAAAUGGCCUCCCUUAGUUGGGAGGGGAGAGCUGUGAGACGGGUCUUGCUGCAUCCUGUCAGCUUUGUGGGAGCUAAGUAGGGUGGUUUUGGGUGGAAGGGGCCCCUGCCGCCAGUGCUGUGAGGCCUGUGAGUUGUGCUGUUUUGUGGUAAUUGCUGCUUUAUCUGCAGCAGGGGGUCUUUUUACCAAGACUUUUGGGGCAGGGAGGAGAAGUGGAGAUUGGGCAGAAGAAGAGAAGACACCUUGAAGUCAUGAACCAUGGAGCUGCCUGUCAUUGGUGCAUGGAACAUGUGAUGGGUGCUUGUGCUGUAGCUCUGUCGUGAGGAGCAGGGCAGGGGCAGUGACAUGCUGAGGGCUGGAGAAGGAGCACCACAAAGAUGGCUGUGAGGCCUUGGUCAGGCGUGAAGUAUGUGAGCCAGGAGAGUCGUACAGCACACACGCAGGAUGGAGGGCAACAAGUCGAGUGGGGGGCUUCUUUGGCCAGGGCUGCUGUGAAAUCUGGCGUAGGGCUGGGCCGGCCGGUCCGAGUCUGUCGGACUCCACGUAUAGGAGAAACGACAGAUGUCUAAGGAGCUUGUGGGGCGUUUGAUCCGGGCUCAUCCCUGGCACUUGGGGUGCAGGCCUGGCCCCUCUCUGGGGUGUGUUGAGGGUGAGCUCUGGGUUUGCGUUCAUGCCCCUGACUUGCUGUUGCUACAGGCCUCCCUUCAGUCUUGGGAACAGCGCUAUGUCCUGUGUGCCUGGGGGUGUCACUGGUGUCUCUCUCUUUCUACCUCUUUGCAAAAUGUCUGCAGCACUUGUUCUUUUUCUGCUCUUGUCAGGACUGGAGGGAAGGCUGUGGUGGGUUUUUUCCUGCCACCUAAAAUGGUUUCCACCUCGGGGAGGGGUCUGACUGCACCCUGUGUGCCCUGUUUAGGCUGGGUGGGGGUAUCGCCUUUGAAUUCUCGGGGGUUGCUUUUGCCCUCAGGGCUGUGAGUCCCGUGUGCCGCGUGACUUUUCCUAAUUUAUUUUUGUUUUGGUGACAUGUACGGGAGUCAUCUGGCUGAGGCUCGAGGCUCCUAAGUGGGCAUCGGGAAGAAGAGGUGGAAAUAUAGCGCCUGUGACCUGAGGAAGCUGGUGAAAGAAACGGAUGUCGGCGCAUUCGCUUUGCGGUUGCCCGGCGUGAGACUUCUGCCCGUGUGGUGGCCCUGGGCUGGAAGCCUUGCUGCGUGAAGCCUGCGAUAGAUGUUGGAUUGCUGCUCCCUGUGUGGUGAGAAGGAUUGGCUGCAAUGACUGGAGGCCUGGAAAAGGAGCCGUGUGGCCAGGGUCCUGGCCUGCAUGGAGGGAAGUAGGUGAGAGGACUGCAUCGUGGAAGAGCCGUGGGACAGUGUUGGAUGACAGACACGGACCGGCCGGAUGUUGCCCGCUACGUUGGAAUGUCCCUUCUGUAUUGGGAUUCUGCGUGGGGGUGUGGGGUGGGUUUGGGAGUGUCCUCAGCUUUAUGAUCCUGGAGCCAGGGGUUUGCAAGUAGUAUGUUUGGGUCAGUUUGUCUGUGCUGUGGGUGGACCUAGGGUGACCAGAGGUGAAAUCCAUUCCUGUGACCCUGUAGUUGGACCAGCACCCAGACACUUGCAGGAACCGCUGGGCAAGCAGGCCCAGAGCUUUCAACUGUUGAGCACGGCAAUGCUGGAGCCAGCUAGCAUGGAAGCAGAAGGGCCGGCCGGGCGCGGGGCCUGGGCUGCCUCUGUGGCUUCUGUGCUAGUGAGGUUGAGAAUUGCAGUGCUGGGGGGUUGGAGGUUUUGGACCUGCUUGUGCAGGGUUCUUGUUGGUGUUGGGGUGCUGGUUCUGCUGGGUCAGAGCAAUGGGUUUUAUUCUGCCUGACUGCCAUGUUUACCGUGUCCUACAGGGCUGGGAGCCUGUCGUAGUAGCGUGUGUUUGGCUGGGGCGGGGCGGUUGUCUGGUUUGGUCCCUGAGCAGUGUGGUGAGCAUGUUUGUUAUUACCCUGAAAUAAAAUAGUUUUCUGAUAGCCUACUGUUAGGCUAACAAUAAUUUAGAUUAUUAAGAAGUAUUAGCUUUGCAGUUGAAUACAAGGCAUGACCUGUGGCCUAGCAAUGCCGCUGACCACAAGGCAGAAUGAUAGCUAAGCCUUUGCUUAUGUUAAGUAAUGAUUUUAACUGUGUUGACUAUUUUCUGAGUAAAAUGCAGCAAGUGAAUCUGUCUGUGUGCUGUAAACCAGAUACAGCAAGGAACAAGGUAAGAGGAAGAAGGCAUUGUUCUAAGUACAGUGAUCGUGUCCUUAAGAAGUAUCUAGUACUGUGGAAGUUUUUGCUAAGAUAUCAUAAUGUUACUGUUACUUAUGUUAGAAAAUAUUGUUGGAAAAUCAAUGUGACCUUUGUAUGACCUUUGGUCAAUCCUGGCUGAUGCAACCUUGCAGUAAGAUUGCCAUGAUCUGUCAAUAUAGGCGGGCAAACAAGGUGAUUGGGCCCAACCGUGCGGGGCGAGCAAAGCCAAGCCAUCUUGGUGAUUUCCUCUGAGUUUUGCGCAUGCGUUAUGAAGGAGCUUAUGUAACCAGAGUUUAUAAAUCUAUGUGUUUGAGUUGCAGUCGGGGGUCUCUCUGCCCUUACGAGGACAGGGGACCUUUGGUCCAAUAAACUGAAAAGACCACGCGCUCGUCUCCUGCUUAUUGGAGUCUCAGGUGGGAAACGAGCCCUGUUCGGGUUAAGAGAGUCUGCAGGUGUUCCCUUACCAGAUUGGGAGCCUGGUCAGACAAUUUCUCUCACAAUUUGGCGAGCCAGCCAGGAGCACCCAGCUCGUCGCGCUGCCGCUGCCGCCUAAACCCAACCUCCGGCCGGCCGUAACAGAGGUGAGUUCACCACGGGAGUCUUGGGUUGAGGCUGCAGACACGGCGGGACGAUAAAGUGACUCCUUCAAUUUUACUGGCACGGUGUGGUCUUUUAUAUGUUGUGUAUGUCUUGUCUAAUGUGUUAUAGGCCAGUCUGUUCUCCGGUUCCUCAAACCUGGGCACACAGGCAAUUUUAGUUAAUUGCCCGUUCGACUCUUUUGAGCCGAUAAAUCUGUGUGGCGCGUUUUAUGUCUCCAUUCGCGCACUGAGGAACCGUCUCUGUUUCUGACCUUUUAACUGGAUAAGUCCUCCAACCUGUUUGAGGCAUCCUAGAAGCCUGCCUUUCCAGGUUGGUUAGGUCUAGGGCAGCCAAGAAAGCAGGGUUUUUGGGGAGCUUAAUAGUAUAUCAAGUCAUCUGGGAAAGGGAUGUCUGCCAAGAAUGACGAUGGGACAGAAACAGUCAAUUCUGGCUAGUAGUCCUCUUGGAGAAUUGUUAAGCAACUGGAAUAAGCUAUCUGGACAUGGCCAAUUGAGUAAGAAGCGCGCUAUAGCCUUAUGUACUAGUGUCUGGCCCGGCUACACUUACAAAAACCCUGAACUUCAGUGGCCAGUGUUGGGAUCCCUUAGUGUAGAUAAAUGAAGGUACCUCAGGGGGUUCCUAGAGGAACCCCAUCCCCGACUAAUGGAUUAUUGGUAUGUGUGGUGUGAUUUGAUGGAUUUAAUUCUGCAGAGGAAAAAAAAAACUGAUUACUUCUGGCCGCUCAACAACGUCUGUGGUGUCUUCUCCCCCUUAUUCUCCCGCUAUGCCACCAUUGGUGACUAGGGGACCAGCCAUAAUAAACCCGGCCGCUUAGGCCGUGGCCCUUCCGGCACCUUUUACCCCUCCAUCAGGCUCCUCUCCUCCCGUAACAGGAGUGUCAGGGUCUGUACCUGCCUCCUCGGAGCCUACUUUCAGUCCCAUAGCAGGACAUACUAGGUAGCGUUUGAAUCAGGUCAUACACCUGCUCUUGUACACAUGUAAUGACAUCUGCACACCCCCAUCACACAUGCAGUCACGCCUGCUCAGAGUCCCUUACAGACAUGCGCCUGCACAGAACCCCAAAACACACUGCGACAUACACAUGUGCCCCAACAGGUGUCCGUGACACACUUGCACACAAAUGUGCAUCCUCGCACACAUGCAUGUGCAGUCUCACACACGUACCCAGAGCCCAGGUGCUUGUGACACGUGCAUGCUCACACACACAUGGAACUCAGGUGUCUGACACACAUGCAUAUGUGCUCUCGCGGACACAGUCUAGCACACAUGUACAGAACCCAAGUGUCUGUGGCACACAGGCAAGUACCCUGACAUAUUCACAUUCACACACACACAAGCCCACAUGGGUAGAUAUGAAUCAACCUGCCCCCAAUGAUGUGUGCAAUUAUUGUAAACAAUUGGGGCAUUGGAGACGAGAAUGCCCAAACUGCCCUAAGGGACUUCCCCCUUAUGGAGGAAGAAAGGGGGGAACCCAGGGAAACAACCGGGCUGCCAGCACCGAUCCUACAGAUCCCUGGGUCCAGAGUUUGCAACAAGAUAUAGAUGACUCCCAGUGAAAUAAGGGGGCGGCUCUUCCACACGAUGUAUUUAGGGGAAUCUUCCUCUUUUGAGUAUACCUGCGGCCCUUCAUCCCCUUAUGUACCACUUCAAAUAGCAGGAAAAUUUAUAAAUGUCUUAUAGAUAGAGGAGCAGAUCUGUCCUCACUGGGAGAAUCUCCAGAAAGGGCGGGAAUUGCAGUCUCAGGAUCUGAAAAGAUUACGAGAGUAAUUGGAAAAUCUAUGCAAGUGCCCCGUGGCACUGAAACACAAGUGCAGAUAGGACCCUUGACCACCAUUCAUGCUUUCCUAUUAGCUGAAGGAACUGUAGUGCACCUCCUUGGAAGAAAUCUACUCUAUAAACUACAGACCAGAAACCCUUCACCCUACUUAUGAGAAUCAAGGCGUUGCUUCAGGUGUCUUAACUCAGCCAUGGGGAGUUUCUAAUCGUCCCAUAGCAUACUAUUCUGCUCAGUUAGAUCCUGUAGCAAGGGCAGCAAUUGUCUGUCUUAGAGCAGUCGCUGCUGCCACUGUGCUAGUUCAAAAGGCUCAAGAUUUAGUGUUAGGACACUCUCUUGUGGUUGAAAUAUCUCAUUCAGUGGAAGCUCUCCUACUACAGCACAACCUCUGCCAGCAGGGACCAACGCCCAGGCCGCUGAGCUAGCGGCACUCUGACGAGCAUGCAAAUUGGCCACAGCCUCCAGGGUCACUAUCUAUACUGACUCUAAAUAUGCUUUUAGUACCUGUCAUGCGCUAGGGCGGUCCUGGUGACAAAGAGGUUUUAUCACGUCCUCUGAUGCUGUAAUCAGCAAUGCCACGGAAGUCCAAGAACUGCUAGAGGCUGUCGUGUUACCAGGUGAUAUAGCGGUAAUGCACGGUCCCAGACAUUCCAGAGAAGAUACUGACAUCGCUAAAGGAAAGCAUCUCGCAGAUGCUGUAGCUAGAGCCGCUGCACUACAAACUAAAGGAAGUCUCCUUGCAUCUCAAGUUGUUCUUCCACCCUUGUCUGUUAUUUAUGACAAAGUCCCAGCGGAUGAAGUAUCUAUAUGGGUCCAAAAGUGGGAAGCUGCGCAAGGAAAGGAUGCAGUGUGACGUGUGCCAGACGGUAGACCAAUUGCUCCUCGCACCUUGCUCCGAAGUCUGGCUCAGGAUGCCCACAGAUGCUGUCAGUCGGGAAAAGGAGAAAUAGCAGAACAGGUCCUCUCCACCUGGUUUGCUCCAGGUAUACAUCUAGAAGCUGCCCGAAUAACUCUGCAAUGUUCAGAGUGCAGAGCCUUCAACAAAUACAGAGGACACACAAAAUUACAAGGGGCCCGACCGUGGGCCUAUUUACCCUUUGAAAAACGACAUGGAUUUGCUCAAAGCUGUACAUUUCAAGCACUGCCUAGUAGCGGUAGAUCAAGUAACAGGAUGGCCAGAAGCUUUCCCCACUCGAGAAGCGGAUUCAGUAGCAGUAGCCAAACCCGUAUUAAAAGAAAUCAUCCCACAUUUCGGCAUUCCAGGAGGAAUAAACUCUGACCGGGGAACUCACUUUACAGAAACUGUUUUAAAAGAAGUUUACAGAGUUUUUGGAAUAAUAACAUACUUCCACGCACCCUAUCGCCCUCCGUCCCCGGGUCAGGUAGAGAGGAUGAAUCAGAGUAUAAAAUCCCUUUUAGGAAAGAUCUGCUCCUAAACCAAAUUGAAAUGGUCAGAUGCUUUACCAAGGGUGCUGUUUGCUAUAAGAACAAAACCCAAAUGGCCUCUCAACCUUGUCCCCCUACGAGUUGUUGUUUGGUCACGCUCCUGUUAUAUAAGAGAUGGGAAAAUCUGCAUGUUAGCUUACUCGGCGGAGAUGAAGCUUUAAUUAGUUAUGUUUUAUCCUUACAGGAGUCUCUCUAGUGUUUACACAGGUCAGCUGCUUUGGUUCAGCUGGUACCCCUGGACUGUAACCUUCACUCCUAUCAAUCAGGACGCUGAGUUUGGGUAAAACAACAUCGGCGAAAAACCGCCUCGGCCCAAGUCUGGGCAGGUCCGUACCAAGUUCUUCUUACUAUACACGCUGCUGUGAAAAUCGCCGAGAAAGAGGGCCGGAUUCAUCGCAGUCGCCUCAAACCUGGUAUCGGCAAGUAAUGACCGGUCAGCUGCUGUUCCGCCUUUGUGGCUAGAAAGAAUCGGAGAAUCGUGGACCGUUCAGACUCCUUAAUAGAAAUGAUACGUGUAUUAAGCUUGCUUUGUAUUAUCUUUCUUGUUAUACUUUGUGUUUGUAUUUCACUGUGGAUGCAGGGAAGGUUAUAAGUUAAUAAUGGCAUUUCACCGGGCUAUCCUAACAGGAUUAUUGCUCUUGAUGCAUAAAACACCAUGGCUAUUUAUGGGAAAGCGAUACAGAACAGGAAGACCAGUGGAAAGAUAAUGCUUACCUGAUUUCCACUAUAGCUAUAGCACAGGCCGUAAAAUUUGUCUAAUGGUUGGAUAUGUGGUACACAGUCUCCUUCUACUAACUUUCCACCCUAUCCUUUAAUCUCUUGGGAAGGGAUUUUUUCUAAUCCAGAGUGGGUUGAUACGGUUAGAGCUGGAAUAAGUACCUGGCAGGAGAAUCCUUAUUUUAAAGAGAGAGUACUUUCAGACAUCAUGUUAUCUGCCCAGGUGUGUUGGGAAAAUCCUCAUGGAAUAGGAAAAGAGAUUUUUAGGAUGGCAACCAGGUUGUAAACUAACCAUUAAUGCCACACACUUAAUUUGGCCUAACAAUACUGCAGUGGGGACUAAAGAAGCUGAAAAGAAAGGUUACAUCCCCUGGAAUGUGUGUGCUCCCUGCAGUUCCUUGCAGCGUCCUUAUGUAUGGCAAUGUAUGGAAGGUUCCAUCCGAUGCUCCGCCCCUAAUAAAACUUGGGCUUGGAGUCACGGCUGUUUCACGUCUUGCACAUACAGCUCCUUUGCAAAGCCAAGUUGUUCGUAUGUUAACUAUACCAUUUACAGAGACGGUUCAGUACCUUGCCCCAGAGAUCCUCAUACUACCGCAUCAAUCAACUGGCACAUGCGUUAGAACUUAUUGCCAAUAGCACAGCAGAGGGCAUUGAAUUAGUGCAAGACCAGGCUUCUUGCAACCAUGCUAUGACUUUAGAAAAUCGCUUCGCUUUAGACUAUUUGUUAGCUAGAGAAGGAGGGGUAUGUGCUUUAAUCACAGGAGGACCCUGCUGCACUUAUAUUCCUGACCACUCUGACAACAUAACUGCUGCAGUAAAAACAAUUCGAGACACAGCACGACUUCUUUGCGAAGUUGGUCAGUAAUAGAACGGAUUGCCUCAACUUUAGGAAUGUGGGGAAGGUAUAUCUUAGAAUACAUUUUAUGGGGAUUAGGAAUCUUCUUGGUUAUUAUUGUAAUAAUUGCUGUAAUUACAGCCUGUGUAGUUUGAGUGAAGCAAAAAGUAAUUAAUCUCAAUAUUAUGCAAACCUGGGAAAUGGCCAGCAGGCCAUAGGCCUGUGGCUGUAAGGGGGGAUUGUUAGAAACUAUUGUUGGAAAAUCAGUGUGACCUUUGUAUCACCUUUGGGCAAUGCUAGCUGAUGCAACCUUGCAGUAAGAUUGCCAUGAUCUGUCAAUAUAGGCGGGCAAACAAGGUGAUUGGGCCCAACCAUGCGGGGUGAGCAAAGCCAAGCCAUCUUCGUGAUUUCCUCUGAGUUUUGCACAUGUGUUAUGAAGGAGCUUAUGUAACAAGAGUUUAUAAAGCUACAUGUUGAGUUGCAGUUGGGGUCUCUGUUCCCUUAUGCGGACAGGGGACCUUCGGCCCAAUAAACUGAAAAGACCACACCCUUGUCUGCUGCUUAUUGGAGUCUCAGCUGGGAAACGAGCCCUGUUUGGGUUAAGAGAGUCUGCAGGUGUUCCCUUACCAGCUUGGGAGUCUGGUCAGACAAUUUCUCUCACAAUUAAUUUGUAGCUUUUAGAAAGUGCUAGUUCAGCUUAAUAGAAAUAUGCUGUUAUGAAGAUUCGUAAAGCACCGCCCAAGUAUUGCUUUUGGUUAACCCUUGUAGAGCGCAAGUUUGUUAUUACCCUGAAAUAGAAUAGUUUUCUGAUAGCAUACUGUUAGGUUAACAAUAAUUUGGAUUAUUAAGAAGUAUUAGCUUUACAGCUGAAUACAAGGCAUGACCUGUGGCCUAGCAAUGCAGCUGACCACAAGGCAGAAUGAUAGCUAGGCCUUUGCUUAUGUCAAGUAAUCAUUUUAACUACACCAAGCAUUUUCUGAGUUAAAAAGUGAAUCUGUGUCUGUGCGCUAAAAAAAAUCAGCUACAGCAAAAAGUAAGAUAAAACAGAGAAACCAUUGUUUGAGCUUACUGGUUGUGUCCUUGAAAAAUAUCUUCUACUGUAUAAGGUUUUGCUAACAUAAUGUUACUGUUACCUAACUUUUAGCUUUAAAAGGUGCUAGUUCAGCUUAAUAAAAAUAUGCUGUUACAAAGAUUUAUAGAACACCGCCCCAAGUAUUGCUUUUUGUUAACCAUAUAGUUUUGCUUUGUUGUAAAAAAUAUAAAAGAUCGCCUCACCCUUGAGGGGGGGCCUUUUUGCCUUUUGCUGGCUUUAUGGUCUUUGCUCGAGCAAAUAAACAGCUGUCUUUCUUUACCCGCGUUGUCUGUCAAUCAAAUUACAGCUAGACAACGGACCUUAGGGAGAUUUCUCCCACCACACCCUGUAGUCUUGCCUUAUUGUAAAAAGUCUAAAAGAACACCCCACCCUUGAGUGGGGGGCAUUUUGGCUUUUUGCUGGCUUAUGGUCAUUGCUCGAGCAAAUAAACGGCAGUAAAUCUUUACCUGCGUUGCUUGGUUUCUAUUGCAGCUAGACAACAAACUCCUCCUGGGAGUUUUCUCCCACCACAGCAGGAAGGAGGAUGUUGAAGGUUUCUGAGCCAUAAGCUCGAGCCCUCUCUUUGGAAGGGGUGUUAGAAAAUAUUGUUAGAAAAUUAAUGUGACCUGUGUAUGACCUUGGAUCAAUGCUGGCUGAUGCAACCUUGCACUGAGAUUGCUGCUGAUAUGUCAAUCUUGGCGGACAAGCAAGGUGAUUGGGCCCAACCAUGCAGGGUGAGCAAAGUCAUGCCAUUUUAGCAAUUUUCUGCUGGGUUUUGCACAUGUGUUAUGGGAAAGGCUUAUGUAAUGAAAGUUUAUAAAUAUGUGUUGAGUUGGAGUCGGGGUCUCUCUGCCCUUACGAGGACAGGGGACCUUCAGCCAAAUAAACUGAAAAGACCACACCCUCGUCUCCUGCUUAUUGGAGUCUCAGCUGGGAUAGGAGCCCCGUUAGGGUUAAGAGAGUCUGCAGGUGUUCCCUUACGAGAUUGGGAGCCUGGCCAGACAAUUUCUCUGAUGGGGAAAGCAGAGCCGUCUGUUACUCAGCUUUGUUUUGUUGUUGCCCAUAGUGGAGGUAUUGCAAAAAUGUAUCAUCUCACUACACCAAAGGCUUCUCAGCUGAAAACUGUAAACUGGAAAUUGUUUCUUCUUCUCUGUCCCACAUCACUGCGGGGCCAGGAGGCGGGGGGUCGUGUUAGGGGGAGAGAACAGUCUGAACAAUGCUUGCUUCACGAUAAGGCUGACUCCUGUGGGAACACAGAUUAGUUACUGCCUGCUUUGCACAUAAACUUUGCAGAAAACUGUAGCAAAUGACAGAUUGCCACAAUGGAAUCUUGUUUAGGAGAGGUAUAAAAAUGUAUUUUCGGGCAUGGCUAGGGGUCAACAUGACUUUGAGGUUUGAGCUCCGUUGUCGAUCUGUUUGCAAACAAACAUAGUUGAAAUGGAUCCAGCCUAAGUGUGUAUAACUCUCCCUUGAGGUAUAUGGAAAAAGCCUCCAGAAACACGAAACUAGCCGUUUGUGCAACAGAGGCACAACUGGGAAGCACCCCCCUCCCUCUGUCAGCUUAACCACCUUCUUGUCCCUCCAAGGCCCCUGCCUUGUAGUGCCUCUUGGGCCUGCGUGGUGUUGCUGGUCGUUGUGUUUGGGUGUGAGGGGGGUGCAGCCAAGGUGAUGGCUCCUGUGGAGAAGGGGAGUAGAAGCAGAAGUAGUUACGAAGAGCCUGGGUGCUGGGCUGAUGUCGUGGGAGAAAACUCCCUGGUGUUCGUUGUCUAGCCGGCUUAGAGACCAGACAACACGGGUGAAGGGGUAACUGCAGUUUAUCUACUCGAGUAAAGACCAUAAAACAGCAAAGAGGUAAAAUGGCCUCGACUUAAGGGUGAGGCUGUCUUAUAUACUUUUUCUAACAAAGCAACUACAAGGUUAUUGAAUAUGUAAUACUUAUGGUAAUCAUCUCCUUACAUGGUGCAUUACAAAUCUCAGUACUUUUGCAGAGGAAAAAAGUUAGUGUUAUCUUACACACUGCAAUCUGUUAUCCUGUACUCCGCUGUACCAUCUUCUUGCCUCUGGGCCCCCCCCUUAUCUUAUCUGACUCCUAGCUGCAGCUGGUACCCAGUACACAGACUUAACCAUUUUGUUAGGAAAAAGCAGAAAUUAAGGCACUUGACAUAAGAAAAUGACUGGCUUAGAGAUCAUUCUGUCUUGUGGUCAGCAAGAUUGCUAGGCCACAGGUCAUGCCUAGUGUUUAGCUACAAAGCUAAUACUAUUUAAUAAUCUAAAUUACCCUGAAAUAAAAUAGUUUUCUGUAGUAUACUGUUAAGAAUAAAGAGAAACCCAUCACUUUGAGUGUGAGGUGGAAGAGGUGCCAGGAGGAUGUGUGUGCUCGGUGGGGUGACAGGGGUGCGAAGCUGCCUGCCUGGGGGUGGUGGGAUCGUGCUGUGCUCCGUUGGUUGUUUGCUUUGUUUGGUGAUGUUUGUGUGUGUCCUUGUGUUGUUUGUGUUCUGCCUGUUUGUUGUGAGGUUGGCAAUGUUUUCUUCCUGGUGGUUUGUUUUGUACAUGGCUGUUUGCUCACCUCCUAUCUGUUGAGCUUUUUGUAUGUAACAUGUAGAGGAACUUGUGGGCCAGCCUGGAAAAAUAAAAUAAAGGAGAAAUGGUUCUGGUA